rnacentral:misc_RNA from 1 species
GGAGCAGAGGAAUAGUUUGGUGAGGACCGAGGAAUGAAAGAGCGGCGGUUUGGAGCCGGUGAAGGACAGGGAUGGCAUUAAGAAAAUUUCGCAUCUCUCUAUCUCUACCUACACGUCUGUCACAGUAUAUAUAGAGGGUGCGAUUCCUCAAAGGCAGCACGCUACCUACUAUUACUGCUACUAGAACCUCUCUGAGAACUUU